rnacentral:rRNA from 1 species
UACGUAGGGCGCAAGCGUUUGUCCGGAAUUAUUGGGCGUAAAGAGCUCGUAGGCGGUUUGUCGCGUCUGCUGUGAAAACCCGAGGCUCAACCUCGGGCCUGCAGUGGGUACGGGCAGACUAGAGUGCGGUAGGGGAGACUGGAAUUCCUGGUGUAGCGGUGGAAUGCGCAGAUAUCAGGAGGAACACCGAUGGCGAAGGCAGGUCUCUGGGCCGCAACUGACGCUGGAGGAGCGGAAAAGCAUGGGGAGCGAACAGG